ensembl:lncRNA novel transcript
UUAGCAUCCAUUGGUGCCGUUGAAGGGCAAGAGAAUGAACUUUGAUGAGAAAGAAGUAGUUAUCCUGGUUAAUAACUGACUUGGAGCACUAGAACCCUUUGCUGCUGAGAAGUGGUCCCAGUUCCAGGGCUGGGUAUUUGAAAUCCUGAGCUGGACUCUGACAUCUUGGUCAUCCACCCUCCAUGGCCAUGCCUGUCUCCCAGGGCUGUCCGUCAGGGCUCCCUGAAGUCCUCUUCUCCAGGAACACAGACCCAUACCUGCUCCCUAUCACUGACAUGACAUGGUGUCUGGGACCCUCACUGCCUCUGUCACUCAUCUAGGAAGCGGCUGAUUGAAGCCUCUCCUCAGGAGUGUCUCCUGGAAGAGAGAAUAUGGAGACUGUGCAGCUCAGGGCGUCACCCUCCAGACUGAAUUGCUCUGGCCUCCACACAUCCAGGACACAUCUCCCAUGGGGACUGUGGUGGUGACUUGUAUGUGUCAACUUGCCCAGGCCAUCGAGUGCCCAGACAUUUGGUCUAUGAUUAGGUUGGGUGUUUUAGAUAUGAUUGACCUUGACACUGGUGGACUGCAGGCAGCAGAUUCCCUCCCUUAUGUGAAUGGAGGCCUGAAUGGAACAAAAUGGUGGAUUCUGUCCAGAGCAAGAGAAUUCUUCCUGCCUGAUGGCCUUCAAACAGAAAGGUCAGCUUCUUCCUGCCUUCAGACUUGAACGGAAACAUCAGCUCUUCCUGACUCUCAAGCCUGCUGACCUUCAGAUUGGAGCUUACAUUACUGGCUUCUCUGGGUCUUCACACUGCCCUGACCCUGCAGAGCUCAGAACUUCUCCGCCACCAUAAUCAUGACUUAAGCACUGAGUGGCCAGCUUCACACAGCUCCAUGAGGUCACAGGAGAAUACUGAGCCCAGGAUGUGAACGGACACCCAGCUGGGCAGAAGGGAGCCAG